GUGGCCUAAUGGUUAGCGCAUUGGACUCUGGAUCAAGCGGUCUAGGUUCGAGCCCUAGCACA
rnacentral:tRNA from 1 species